CAGUCGCCACGGUAAUACGAGGGGGGCAAGCGUUGUUCGGAAUUAUUGGGCGUAAAGGGCGCGUAGGCGGUUUGGCAAGUUUGGUGUGAAAUCUUCGGGCUCAACUCGAAGUCUGCACCGAAAACUGCCGGGCUUGAGUAUGGGAGAGGUGAGUGGAAUUUCCGGUGUAGCGGUGAAAUGCGUAGAUAUCGGAAGGAACACCUGUGGCGAAAGCGGCUCACUGGACCAUUACUGACGCUGAGGCGCGAAAGCUAGGGGAGCAAACAGGAUUAGAUACCCGUGUAGUCCCUGUCUCUUAUAC
rnacentral:rRNA from 1 species